UAGGGAAUCUUCCGCAAUGGACGAAAGUCUGACGGAGCAACGCCGCGUGAGUGAUGAAGGUUUUCGGAUCGUAAAGCUCUGUUGUUAGGGAAGAACAAGUGCCGUUCAAAUAGGGCGGCACCUUGACGGUACCUAACCAGAAAGCCACGGCUAACUACGUGCCAGCAGCCGCGGUAAUACGUAGGUGGCAAGCGUUGUCCGGAAUUAUUGGGCGUAAAGGGCUCGCAGGCGGUUUCUUAAGUCUGAUGUUAAAGCCCCCGGCUCAACCGGGGAGGGUCAUUGGAAACUGGGGAACUUGAGUGCAGAAGAGGAGAGUGGAAUUCCACGUGUAGCGGUGAAAUGCGUAGAGAUGUGGAGGAACACCAGUGGCGAAGGCGACUCUCUGGUCUGUAACUGACGCUGAGGAGCGAAAGCGUGGGGAGCGAACA
rnacentral:rRNA from 1 species